rnacentral:lncRNA from 1 species
GCACGUGUGCUCGUCCGUGUGAGUGUAGUCAGAGAGUUUGUAGAAAUCAAGCCAAUUUCAGGAGUGGGUUCUGUCUUUCACACCUGUGGGUUCUGGAGAUUGAACUCAGGUCUUCAGUCUUGCCAGCAAGUAAGUGCCUUCACCUUGAGCCAUCUCACUGGCCUAAAAAUUAUUGUUUGAAAUUAAAAUCUAAAGAUACCAUGCCUAGCUGUGAUUGCACAAGCCUUUAGCCCCAGCACUUGGGAGGCAGAGGCAGGUAUAUCUCUGUGAGUUUGAGGCCAGCCUGGACUACAGAAGGAGUUCCAGGACAGCCAGAGCUACACAAAGAAACAUUGUCUACAAAAACAAACAAGCAAAACAAAACAAAAACAAACAACCAAACCAAAAACCCUGAAGAUAGCUAGAUAUUAUAAAACUUUUAAAAAAUUACAAUGAGGGGCUGGGGAUUUAGCUCAGUGGUAGAACGCUUACCUAGGAAGCGCAAGGCCCUGGGUUCGGUCCCCAGCUCCGAAAAAAAGAACCAAAAAAAAAAAAAAAUUACAAUGAUAUUUAUGGUUUAAUGUUUUUUUUUAAAGUCAAAAUAUUAUUUUCUCUUCACUUUCAUCUCUUGUAACACUGACAGGACUUUAGAGAAGUAAUUUGUUACUAUAAUUAUACAUAAAUCCAUCAACAGAAAAUUGCUUUUGAGAUAAACUGAGGCAUAUACAAAGAAGCUGGAUGUAUUAAGAUCAAAGCUGUUUUGUUACUCGGUUGGUCCCCCUGUCUUCCUAUAUAAUAGCACAUGUAUUUCGGCAUGCUUUUGUUAUAAAUUCUAAAAUAAAUUUCUUUGUUAUACACUUAA